rnacentral:rRNA from 1 species
UAAGGAAUAUUGGUCAAUGGACGCAAGUCUGAACCAGCCAUGCCGCGUGAAGGAUGAAGGUCCUCUGGAUUGUAAACUUCUUUUAUCUGGGACGAAAACGGGAUUUUUAUCUCAAUUGACGGUACCAGGGGAAUAAGCACCGGCUAACUCCGUGCCAGCAGCCGCGGUAAUACGGAGGGUGCGAGCGUUAUCCGGAUUUACUGGGUUUAAAGGGUGCGUAGGUGGGCUUAUAAGUCAGUGGUGAAAUCUCCGAGCUUAACUUGGAAACUGCCGUUGNUACUAUAGGUCUUGAAUUAUCUGGAGGUAAGCGGAAUAUGUCAUGUAGCGGUGAAAUGCUUAGAUAUGACAUAGAACACCAAUUGCGAAGGCAGCUUACUACAUAUAAAUUGACGCUGAGGCACGAAAGCGUGGGGAUCAAACA